rnacentral:rRNA from 1 species
UACGUAGGGGGCGAGCGUUGUCCGGAUUUAUUGGGCGUAAAGAGCGUGUAGGCGGCCAGGUAGGUCUGCUGUGAAAACUCGAGGCUCAACCUCGAGACGUCGGCGGAAACCAUCUGGCUAGAGUCCGGAAGAGGAGAGUGGGAAUUCCUGGUGUAGCGGUGAAAUGCGCAGAUAUCAGGAAGAACACCCGUGGCGAAGGCGGCUCUCGUGGACCAGUACUGACGCUGAGGCACGAAAGCGUGGGGAGCAAACAGG